rnacentral:rRNA from 1 species
CCCUUAGAUGUUCUGGGCCGCACGCGCGCUACACUGACCGGUGCAACAAGCAUCCGUCCUUGGCCGACAGGCCCGGGCAAUCUUUGAACGCCGGUCGUGAUGGGGAUAGACUUUUGCAAUUUUUGGUCUUCAACGAGGAAUUCCUAGUAAACGCAAGUCAUCAACUUGCAUUGAUUACGUCCCUGCCCUUUGUACACACCGCCCGUCGCACCUACCGAUUGAAUGGUCCGGUGAAGCCUCCGGAUUGGCGCGCACCUCGGUGCCGCCGAGAAGUUGGCUAAACCUUACCAUUUAGAGGAAGGUGAANUCGUANCA